CCUACGGGGGGCAGCAGUGGGGAAUAUUGGACAAUGGGGGGAACCCUGAUCCAGCCAUGCCGCGUGUGUGAAGAAGGCCCUCGGGUUGUAAAGCACUUUCAGUGAGGAAGAACGCCUGGUGGUUAAUACCCAUCAGGAAAGACAUCACUCACAGAAGAAGCACCGGCUAACUCCGUGCCAGCAGCCGCGGUAAUACGGAGGGUGUGAGCGUUAAUCGGAAUUACUGGGCGUAAAGCGCGCGUAGGUGGCUUGAUAAGCCGGUUGUGAAAGCCCCGGGCUCAACCUGGGAACGGCAUCCGGAACUGUCAAGCUAGAGUGCAGGAGAGGAAGGUAGAAUUCCCGGUGUAGCGGUGAAAUGCGUAGAGAUCGGGAGGAAUACCAGUGGCGAAGGCGGCCUUCUGGACUGACACUGACACUGAGGUGCGAAAGCGUGGGUAGCAAACAGGAUUAGAUACCCUGGUAGUC
rnacentral:rRNA from 1 species